AUACGUAGGUGGCAAGCGUUGUCCGGAUUUAUUGGGCGUAAAGCGAGCGCAGGCGGUUUCUUAAGUCUGAUGUGAAAGCCCCCGGCUCAACCGGGGAGGGUCAUUGGAAACUGGGAGACUUGAGUGCAGAAGAGGAGAGUGGAAUUCCAUGUGUAGCGGUGAAAUGCGUAGAUAUAUGGAGGAACACCAGUGGCGAAGGCGAGUCUCGGGUCUGUAACUGACGCUGAGGCUCGAAAGCGUGGGGAGCAAACAGGAUUAGAUACCCUGGUAGUCCACGCCGUAAACGAUGAGUGCUAAGUGUUGGAGGGUUUCCGCCCUUCAGUGCUGCAGCUAACGCAUUAAGCACUCCGCCUGGGGAGUACGACCGCAAGGUUGAAACUCAAAGGAAUUGGCGGGG
rnacentral:rRNA from 1 species